GUCCGCGUGGCGCAAUGGUAGCGCGUUGGACUUCUAUUCCUGUGCAUCCCCACGGAUAGGAGCCAUCCAAAGGCUGUGGGUUCGAGCCCCACCGUGGAUG
rfam:Microdochium bolleyi strain J235TASD1 unplaced genomic scaffold Micbo1qcscaffold_3, whole genome shotgun sequence.